AUUGAACGCUGGCGGCAGGCUUAACACAUGCAAGUCGAGCGGGGGAAGGUAGCUUGCUACCGGACCUAGCGGCGGACGGGUGAGUAAUGCUUAGAAAUCUGCCUAUUAGUGGGGGACAACAUCUCGAAAGGGAUGCUAAUACCGCAUACGUCCUACGGGUGAAAGCAGGGGAUCUUCGGACCUUGCGCUAAUAGAUGAGCCUAAGUCGGAUUAGCUAGUUGGUGGGGUAAAGGCCUACCAAGGCGACGAUCUGUAGCGGGUCUGAGAGGAUGAUCCGCCACACUGGGACUGAGACACGGCCCAGACUCCUACGGGAGGCAGCAGUGGGGAAUAUUGGACAAUGGGGGGAACCCUGAUCCAGCCAUGCCGCGUGUGUGAAGAAGGCCUUAUGGUUGUAAAGCACUUUAAGCGAGGAGGAGGCUACUCUAGUUAAUACCUAGGGAUAGUGGACGUUACUCGCAGAAUAAGCACCGGCUAACUCUGUGCCAGCCGCCGCGGUAA
rnacentral:rRNA from 1 species